rnacentral:rRNA from 1 species
GACGAACGCUGGCGCGUGCUUAACACACGCAAGUCGAACGGAAAGGCCCUGCUUUUGUGGGGUGCUCGAGUGGCGAACGGGUGAGUAACACGUGAGUAACCUGCCCUUGACUUUGGGAUAACUUCAGGAAACUGGGGCUAAUACCGGAUAGGAGCUCCUGCUGCAUGGUGGGGGUUGGAAAGUUUCGGCGGUUGGGGAUGGACUCGCGGCUUAUCAGCUUGUUGGUGGGGUAGUGGCUUACCAAGGCUUUGACGGGUAGCCGGCCUGAGAGGGUGACCGGCCACAUUGGGACUGAGAUACGGCCCAGACUCCUACGGGAGGCAGCAGUGGGGAAUAUUGCACAAUGGGCGGAAGCCUGAUGCAGCAACGCCGCGUGCGGGAUGACGGCCUUCGGGUUGUAAACCGCUUUCGCCUGUGACGAAGCGUGAGUGACGGUAAUGGGUAAAGAAGCACCGGCUAACUACGUG